AUUUGUCCAUGUGGCCAGCAUCUUGCUGUAGGUCUGUCUAUAUGGCUAGUGCUAUACUGCAGGUUUGCACAUAUGGCUAGCACCUUGUAGUGCUAUCUAUUUGGCUAGUGUUAUUCUUCAGAUUUAAAACAAAUGUGGAUUCUAUAUGUUUUAUUGCCUGCAUUAUACUGCAGGCUUGUUCAUGUGACUAGAAUUAUACUGCAGUUGUGCCCAUGUGGCUAGUGUUAUACUGCGGGUUUGCCCAUGUCCCUAGCACCUUGUUGCAGGUCUGCCCAUAUGGUUUGUGCUGUGUUGCUGGUCUCUCCAUCUUGCAAGCACCAUGCUGCAUGCUGUCUGCCCCUGUGGCAAGCACCAUGCUGCGGAUUGUG